AGGAAUAUUGCGCAAUGGGGGAAACCCUGACGCAGCAACGCCGCGUGGAGGAUGAAGGUCUUCGGAUUGUAAACUCCUUUUCUUGGGGAAGAGAACGGACGGUACCUGAGGAAUAAGUCACGGCUAACUACGUGCCAGCAGCCGCGGUAAUACGUAGGUGGCAAGCGUUAUCCGGAAUUACUGGGCGUAAAGCGCACGCAGGCGGCCUUUUAAGUUUGACGUGAAAGCUCCUGGCUUAACCGGGGGAGGUCGUUGAAGACUGGAAGGCUUGAGACGAUGAGAGGGGUGCAGAAUUCCCGGUGUAGUGGUGGAAUGCGUAGAUAUCGGGAGGAAUACCAGUGGCGAAGGCGGCACCCUGGCAUCGGUCUGACGCUCAUGUGCGAAGGCGUGGGGAGCGA
rnacentral:rRNA from 1 species